rnacentral:rRNA from 1 species
GACGAACGCUGGCGGCGUGCUUAACACAUGCAAGUCGAACGGAAAGGCCCCUUUGGGGGUACUCGAGUGGCGAACGGGUGAGUAACACGUGAGUAACCUGCCCUUGACUUCGGGAUAACUUCAGGAAACUGGGGCUAAUACCGGAUAGGAAUCCUUGCUGCAUGGUGGGGGUUGGAAAGCUUCGGCGGUUUUGGAUGGACUCGCGGCUUAUCAGCUUGUUGGUGGGGUAGUGGCUUACCAAGGCUUUGACGGGUAGCCGGCCUGAGAGGGCGACCGGCCACAUUGGGACUGAGAGACGGCCCAGACUCCGACGGGAGGCAGCAGUGGGGAAUAUUGCACAAGGGGCGGAAGCCGGAUGCAGCAACGCCGCGUGCGGGAUGACGGCCUUCGGGUUGUAAACCGCUUUCAGCAGGGGCGAAGCUUGUGGUGACGGUACCUGCAGAAGAAGCACCGGCUAACUACGUG